UUGGGCAAACUACGGGGAGGUAAUCACGAACUUGAUUAAUCAAGUUCAUGAUUAUGACGUCAUGAAAAUGGGGCGUGGCAUGACCAUAUAAGGAGUUGUAAUCAAGAUUUUGAUUACUUUUCGUGCACCGAACUAUUCAAGUGUUUCGUUUCGAUUGUUAUAAUGUCCAUAUCGACACGAUUUUUUACCAGGUGAAACGCAAUAUUCUAUUCUCCCGAAAUGAUAUGGACCGGUAGCAGUGGGAUAUGUACUUUAGCUCAUAUGGCGAAAGAUAAACUGCUAGCCUAACUUUUUCAGAAAAGUGAUAUUUUUUAAAGCCCUUUUUAGGCGGAUAUUAUUCUUUUAUCCACAUUUUUACGUUUCUAAUUUAAAAAUAAAUAAUUGGACAUUCAUUUUACACACGUCUUAAAUUGGUCGUAAUAAACAUUUCUUCCAAAAGGCACCGUCGCCUGUUAGCACGCCGCCAUUUGUCGUGUUGUCGGUGUGUGGGUGAGGCCGGAAAUUAGCGCCGAAUUAUUGCUCAUCAAAGCACCACCUCCUCGCUGUAGCAGUGGGCGUCGCUGUCACCACAGUAUUGUUCAGGAAGCUCAUGAUAAUGGUACCUAUGGUCCUACGUUGAGGAACGCUCAAUCAAAAAAUGAUAUGAUGAACUUCUUUGGAAUUAAGCGGACUAAGUACAGCUACAUUUGUAUUAUGUGCAUCGCUCAUGCAAGACAGCAGGCCAGGAUGCAGGGACACACAGCUGCAGGGGAUGAGCUGGAGAACCUGCAGCGCAUUCUCCAAGAGACGACGGAAGCCAACGGAGGCCCGCAAAACUUUCCAUCCCAUAAUCGUGAAUGGAGAGCUGGGCGGGGAAGACGCGGUAUUCGUCGAGGCCCAGGAGGUGGUAUCGGCGCCACCAGACCAAGCAUUCCUGCUGUGGCAGGCCACCUUUUGGAUUUUUAACAUCAAAACUCCUAAAAACGUGGUCAAUCUGAAUUGGUUUCUGAGAACCAAAGUGUUUGGUGGGGUGAAGGCCGAUGUGCCGCCAUCAGCGGCGGCCAUUGCGACCGUGAAGCAAGUGGAGUGAGAUCCCCGUAGAGCAUGCCGCUGCGGGGUGUCGGAAGCGUUUGCCAAUUCUUUGAGCCUUCCACCGGCAGGACUAUAAAUACACAUUUCUUGAAA